rnacentral:rRNA from 1 species
GACAGAGGAUGCAAGCGUUAUCCGGAAUGAUUGGGCGUAAAGCGUCUGUAGGUGGCUUUUUAAGUCCGCCGUCAAAUCCCAGGGCUCAACCCUGGACAGGCGGUGGAAACUACCAAGCUGGAGUACGGUAGGGGCAGAGGGAAUUUCCGGUGGAGCGGUGAAAUGCGUAGAGAUCGGAAAGAACACCAACGGCGAAAGCACUUCACGUGGCUGGCCACUGAUCACUGAGAGACGAAAGCUAGGGGAGCAAAUGGGAUUAGAAACCUCC